rnacentral:lncRNA from 1 species
GGGUGAGUGCCUUUUAUAACCACUUUACACAGAAUAUUGUCCAAAAUGACCAUGUGCGGGAACAGUGCCCUAAAUGACCACUCAAACACGCAUUCACCACAUGCGUGUAUAGAAAACAAAAAGAAACAAAGAAUACGCAUUCGUGAUAUGCGUAUCUGGUGUUGAAUAAUCACAUCCACGCAUUUUCUACAUGCGUAUGCCACCAUUUAUGUGGGCCAUCAUUUAUGUGGGCCACCUAUCAUUCUGCAAUAUUUGCAUGCCAUCUCACGUGGUCAACUGGUACAUGUCUUUGCUUAAAAUAUUACUCCCUCUGUCCCAUUUAAUUGUAUACGUUUCUUUUCAACUGCUCGACACGCAUUUCAAUGCUCUUAUAAAAUAUAGUUCCGUAACUUAUUUUUGAGAUUUUCUUUUUCUGAAUAAAAAUAUAACAUCCAAACUUUAAUUCAGAAAAAGAAAAUUUUAAAAAUAAAUUACACAACUACAUUUAAAGGAGCAUUAAAGUCCGUGCCGCGUCCCCGUCCCCCAAUGUAUACAACUCAGGGGGACGGAGGGAGUAUAACACAGCUUGGAGGCAACUGAGCAGAGUGAAUACGCAUUUGCUAUGUGCGUCUUCUUUACAUUUAAAAAAAUAAAAUACAUACGCAUAUGUAAGAUGCGUGUUUGAGUGGGUAAAAUGAACACAUUUUCUGUAUAUGGUUAUUUUGGACACAUGACCCCUGAAAAACAGUUAUUUCUGGCAUUUUCUC